rnacentral:piRNA from 1 species
AAUGAAGGUAUUGUCAGAUGUGCAAAGU